GGUUGAGAGCAGGACGGUGUUCCUUUCGGGUUGGCUUGAUCGUUGUGUGCUGGAAGCUCAUAUAGUACGCGGUACGAGCGUGAGGUAGUGACGUGAUCGGGUCGCGGACGGCCGAGGUGUUUUACUAUGAUGAAAAAGCAAUCAACAAUGAUCCAUCAUCUGUAAAGAAAGGAAAGAAGGCCAACAAGUUCUGCAGAGGAGAACACACUUUGAAGAACUACCAGCUGACCGUGCCAGAUAAACAAGCCUCAGACUUCUCUGUGUACCGCAGUGCGUGAGCGCAUCAACAUCUUCACUUCUCUUUUUUCAUCUUCAAGAGGAACCAGAGAUACCAAACCAUCAACCCAUGUUCCUGUCUUGCUCAGGGGCUGUUAGAUAAGUGUUAUAUAACUUUGACUGCCGGGGAGUUAGAUAACCAUUUAUAAAACUUCAGCCAGAUUAGAGCGGGUAAUUUGUGAGUGUGUUGACAGCACACACAGAGGCCAUCACUGUGUUUAUCAAACAUGUGACUCCCCCUGAAGAGGAAGUCUUGUUUUGUGGGGUUUUUUUUCAUCUUAUUGAACUGCAGGUGUCCUUACAAAACUCUCCUUGAAGGUAACCACAUGACAGAGAUCAUUAUAAACUAACCUGAUGGUAACCUCCACUCCAAAACGCCCUGCUGUGUUUGUUUGAUUAUUUAUAUAUUUAUAGAGUACACUCCUUUUUCUGGACUACCUUUCAGACACUCGACAAUCACUCCAAAAUUAUAUGUGUUCAUUAAUUGUUCAUCACUGACUGUAACUACAAAGUGGUAUGAACUGUAUCGAAACAAAGCAUGUCAACUUAUUUCACCUUUUCAUGCAGGAGCUUGAAAACCUCCAUGCUCUCUGCUCAUGUUGCCAUGGUAAGAAAAGAGAUAAUGGCUGAUGCAGUGCUCACGCAUUGUUCUCACAGUACAGCCUUGAGUAUCUCUGCUCCAGAUAAUUAUAGUUGAACAUUUAAAGAAAGAAACUAUUCUUUGCACAGAACAAAGUGUUGAACAAUCUUUUGAAGCCAACAAGUCGAAACAGUCCAAAGUGAAAGAAGUUAUCUUUAAGGCUCAGCUUUUUCCUCGAAUGUUAGCGGUCAUGUUUUGAGAUUUUAAUCAUUUGAUAAAGAUCAUGACAAGAGAAAUAAAGACAUUCAGUUCUUA